rnacentral:rRNA from 1 species
UACAGAGGGGGCAAGCGUUGUUCGGAAUUACUGGGCGUAAAGGGCGCGUAGGCGGCCUGUUAAGUCGAACGUGAAAUCCCCGGGCUCAACCCGGGAACUGCGUCCGAUACUGGCAGGCUUGAAUUCGGGAGAGGGAUGCGGAAUUCCUGGUGUAGCGGUGAAAUGCGCAGAUAUCAGGAGGAACACCAAUUGCGAAGGCAGCUCGCUGGGACGUUACUGACGCUGAGACGCGAAAGCGUGGGGAGCAAACAGG